CCUACGGGGGGCUGCAGUCGAGGAUCUUCGGCAAUGGGCGCAAGCCUGACCGAGCGACGCCGCGUGUGGGAUGAAGGCCUUCGGGUUGUAAACCACUGUCAGAGGGGAUGAAAUGCACAAGGGUUCUCCCUUGUGCUUGACAUAUCCUCAGAGGAAGUACGGGCUAAGUUCGUGCCAGCAGCCGCGGUAAGACGAACCGUACAAACGUUAUUCGGAAUUACUGGGCUUAAAGGGUGCGUAGGCGGCGCGGUAAGUUGGGUGUGAAAUCCCUCGGCUCAACCGAGGAAUUGCGCUUGAUACUGCCGUGCUUGAGGGAGACAGAGGUGAGCGGAACUUAGGGUGGAGCGGUGAAAUGCGUUGAUAUCCUAAGGAACACCAGUGGCGAAAGCGGCUCACUGGGUCUCUUCUGACGCUGAGGCACGAAAGCUAGGGGAGCGAAC
rnacentral:rRNA from 1 species